rnacentral:rRNA from 1 species
AUUGAACGCUGGCGGCAGGCUUAACACAUGCAAGUCGAGCGCCCCGCAAGGGGAGCGGCAGACGGGUGAGUAACACGUGGGAAUCUACCCAACCCUACGGAACAACUCCGGGAAACUGGAGCUAAUACCGUAUACGCCCUACGGGGGAAAGAUUUAUCGGGGAUGGAUGAGCCCGCGUUGGAUUAGCUAGUUGGUGGGGUAAAGGCCUACCAAGGCGACGAUCCAUAGCUGGUCUGAGAGGAUGAUCAGCCACAUUGGGACUGAGACACGGCCCAAACUCCUACGGGAGGCAGCAGUGGGGAAUAUUGGACAAUGGGCGCAAGCCUGAUCCAGCCAUGCCGCGUGAGUGAUGAAGGUCUUAGGAUUGUAAAGCUCUUUCACCGGUGAAGAUAAUGACGGUAACCGGAGAAGAAGCCCCGGCUAACUACGUGCCAGCCGCCGCUGUAA